CGCGUAGGCGGAUAGUUAAGUCAGAGGUGAAAGCCCAGGGCUCAACCUUGGAACUGCCUUUGAUACUGGCUAUCUUGAGUUCGGGAGAGGUGUGUGGAACUCCGAGUGUAGAGGUGAAAUUCGUAGAUAUUCGGAAGAACACCAGUGGCGAAGGCGACACACUGGCCCGAUACUGACGCUGAGGCGCGAAAGCGUGGGGAGCAAACAGGAUUAGAUACCCUGGUAGUCCACGCCGUAAACGAUGAGUGCUAGUUGUCGGCAUGCAUGCAUGUCGGUGACGCAGCUAACGCAUUAAGCACUCCGCCUGGGGAGUACGGUCGCAAGAUUAAAA
rnacentral:rRNA from 1 species